rnacentral:rRNA from 1 species
UACGGAGGGUGCAAGCGUUAUCCGGAUUCACUGGGUUUAAAGGGUGCGUAGGUGGGUCUGUAAGUCAGUGGUGAAAUCUUCGAGCUUAACUCGGAAACUGCCAUUGAUACUAUAGAUCUUGAAUUUUCUGGAGGUAAGCGGAAUAUGUCAUGUAGCGGUGAAAUGCUUAGAUAUGACAUAGAACACCAAUUGCGAAGGCAGCUUACUACGGGAACAUUGACACUGAGGCACGAAAGCGUGGGGAGUCAAACAGG